GAAAUAUAUACACCACAACCCAAAUGGAGGGUUAUGGGUGAUUUUUAUUUUCUUUCCAUGUUAUAUAUCUGAGUGACUAUAUAGUAAUAAUUAUAAAUUGUUUAGUGUGCCUCAUAUACACAUUUACAAAGGCUUGUUUGCUGAUGUGGGUGUGUGUGUUUUGCCUUAUUACAUAAGAUAUCUCCAAUUCAAAUUCCCACCAAAAAUUAUCUAUUUAUUUUUAUGUUCAUCGAAGUAUAGUUGCUAUACAAUACCAUACAAGUUACAGGUGCACAACACAGGGACCCCAAACCCCCAAGGGUUACAGUCCAUUUACAGCCAACAUAAAACACUGGCAAUAUUUCCCAUGUUGUACAGCAUAUCGUUGUAACUUAUUCUAUACCUAAUAAUCUAUAAUUCCCAAUCCCUCCCCCCCAAAACUGAUCCCAUCCCUUUACCUCGCUCCACUGGUAACCAAUAGUUCUCUAUGCCUUUGAGUCUGCUUUUUUGUUAAAAAAAUCCUCUUUUAAAAAAAUACUAUGCCAACACACUCAUUAAAGACGUGAGGGGACACUUUUAAUCUCAAUUAGAUGGAGGAGCUGGUCAGAAGUCUCAGCUGGUCCCCUGAUCCUACCUUCAGUGGCGCAAUGAAAGGGGCCAGAACACUUCCCUCCAGAGUGAAUGGUCAGCCGUGCUGCUCACAGUCACACUGCCCUCCAAACUUCUCACCCCACCACUCCUCACUCACAGGGAUGAGGGGACUGUGUCCCAGGCUCUGUCUGCAGCCCUGACCUCCAUCCUCUCUCUGCCUCUUAUUCACCCUUCACUCAUCUCCCUGCCCCCUGACAUUCUGGAGCUUUAGCCAAAUGAGUGAGGGCCCUCACCUGCUUGCAGGGUCAUAUUUCUAAGGAGAAAGAAUGGUAAGAUAUUUCUAGCCACUUUCUCACUCUUACUUUUGGUCUCUUCUGAUGUCCUAAAAUUCCACCUUGUUUUACCCAGAAAGAAUUCUGCUGAUUUCCUCAGUCUAUACCCAUGAUGCUCGUGGCCAUGACACAGCAGAGAAGUGGAGCACAGACAUCCCGGAAAGAUGCCCCUUAUGCAAACUGGGAAGCUAUCCAUGGACUCUGACACUUGGGGAAAAGGGAACAGGCACUCACCAUACAUCAGGCAGAGAAGCUGCUCAGCAUCAGUUAGGCCCUGGCCUCCCCUCCCACCUACUGAUGCAAACAUGUAGGGUACCAUGUGAGGAAGCAUCCAAAAUGGCUACAGGCUAAGACUGGCUUCCCCUGUAGCAGUGUGAUCCCUGUACAUCUUGUUGAUCUGGAAAUACGAUAUCCUAUACAUUUUAGUUCUCUGUCAAUGAGACACUCACCCAAUUUUAGAGGCCCUGUGUGAUACCAACUCAGUUUCUCAUGGGGUGACUUAGAAUAAGACAGACUUGAUGCAAUUGGCUAAAUCAUUUUUAUCCAUGUACCAACAGGCUCCAAUCAUGGCAACCUGAUCAAUCUUCUGGUCAUCUACAUGAAUACCCCAAAUGACCCAGAUAAUCCAAUUGGCUGUGGUGUAGCCCAGUCACAAUUUACAUCAGACCAUCUGGUGACUGUGUCUCCUCCAAGAGCAGCCGAGAAGGACCAUCUGCUUCCAUGCUCCUUACAUCCUGCUGAAGGAGGCAAAGGUUGAGGCCGACUACACACCAGCAAGCCAUCCUCCUGCCUUUGCAUGAAUCAAAAACAACCUAAAAUGCUCUGUAAUUUAGCUGCUCACAUCCUGCGGAGACUGCUUUGCAUUCUCAGUGAACACAUUGUAAUAUUCAGAAUGCAAAUUAAACUUUAUGGGUGCCAUAACCUUGGCCAUUUAUUGCAGCAGAUUCCGUAAUUGCCUGAUGCUGCUAAUACAGCCAAGACUACUUUGGCUUAAAAAAAAAAAAAAAAAAAAAAAAAAAAAACCUUUGCAGAUAGAGCUGCCAUGUUGAUUAAGCAAUCCUGGUGUUUGCUUGCACAACUUCUUAGGCUAAUGUAUUGGUUAAGGUCCUUUUGCUUCAGGCAAUAGUCAUAGCUAGAUAUGAUAGAAAAACUGAAAAUAACACAUAUUAGUAUAUUCAAGUAUAUUUCUCAUGUAGUGGAGAGGUACACGGAGGUAAUAUUAUGAGGGAAAAUGGGAUUGCACCAAAACAUGAGGAGAGUUAGAAACAAACAGCUCAGUUUAAGACCAACUGGUAACUACAAGUUAUACUAGAAGGUAAAAUUUGUUCUUUGAAUAAUAUGAACCAUAAAUGUAUCUCUGGUUUGCCCUAAAUUUGAAGCACACAGAAUUAGGGUUGUGGCCAGAGAAGAGAUGAGAAAGCCAGGGCUAAUACUGACUUCUGUGACUCCUGCCUGUGAAUUAGAGAAAGUCCCUGUCACUCCAGGGAGAUAAAGUCGGCCCUAAUCAGGGACAAACAGCCAGGGAGUAGGCAGCAGAAGCUCAGGGGACAUAGUUCUGUGUUCAAGAGCCAAAGACUCUUUCCCAAAGUAGCUGCCAGCGCUGGGCCCCUCCCAGUUCAUACUGUAAGUGAUUCCUUUUUCAGCCUGUAUCUCCUUGUACUGCUGAUUAGUAAACAUCUCAUUCUGUUCCAAAUACAUUUUCAGCAUCAAGAAAAGUAAAUGACAGUGAGACUAAAACACUGUCAUCAUUUCCGCUGCCAGUUGAUCCAUUCCUGGAAUUUCUUAUAAAUCAUUUUUUUCCCCGCAGGAUGGAUUUUUAAUAUCAGAGCAUCAUGGCAAAAUGUGAUCACUGGACAAUUACGUCCUGUUUUAAAAGGUGGCUUCUUUGGACAAGCUGGCAGCUGGUUUUUCUACCCAGAAAGGUAGCUAGCUGCUCUGUGCUCUCUGCGUCAUCUGAAAGCCUUAUCACAGCCUUUAAAAAUGCAGGUAAAUUAAUUUCACCAAGUCCUAGGAAAUAGGGAUAUGAUUUAUAUUUACUCUUUCCAAGGAUUUAAUAGCUAGAAUGAUUUCCCCUUCCAGAAAAAAGUUUAUUUGCAAUGACCUUUUUAUUCUUUUCCUACGUUGUAUUAUGAGGUCUUGAAACAGUAUCUAAAAUAUAGCUUUCCUGGAGCAUGGGAUCAAACUCACCACUCUAUCAUUUGGGGAUCAUCUUCUCUUUUCAGAAAACAAAAUUAAUUUUGGUUUUUUGGCCACUUUAACUAACAAAUGAAUAUUUUCAACUUUGAAUUCCCUGCCUCUGCAUUUUAACUUAGUUUUCAAUAAUACAUCUGAGACCAAAAGAAAUUUUGACCAUUACUUUUUAAAAAAUUAAGGACUCAAAGUUUAAAAAAUAAACAAUUCAAAGGUGCACCAAAGUUCAAACACAAGUCCUUUCCUGCUAGAUUUUUAUUUAUAUUACUACAGAGAGUGUAGUAUAGACAGAGAGUGAAUCACAGACUUACCUCUGCAUCCACGUCACCAUGAUGCCCACCAUCUCCAUCCAUUCAUAUGUGCAGGGCAGGCCAGGGAAUGGGGAUACCAUCCUCUAGGAGCAGCCCUCAACCAAUCAUCAGUGGCAACUAGUAUAGACAUCUCCAGCUUCCUCAUCGCUGGGUGGAGUAGCACUGAGGUGCGUGCCCCCAGAGCUUCUCCAGAAAAACCAAGCUCCAGCUGCCCACAGUGGUAACCCACUUUCAGUGCCUCUCCCAGGACCUUCUACUGUGUUGUCUGGAAUCACAAUCCAAAUAAACCACCUGAACCCAAAUCUAGUCUUAUUCUGGGGGAAACCCCAACUCAGUCAGCCAGCAGCAUAAAUAUACAAGCUAUAAAAAUGGACUUUAAACACAUUUGUCUCCAAAUUAAAAAAAAAAUUAAGACACACCCCAAUCAAAUUCAAGAAAUUUCAUCUUAUUCAACUUUAUGUAGAAUUUGUCUGCAGCUUUAGAUAUUUACUUCUUUCAGAAGAACUUGACUUCCUUUUAAAAUCUUUGGCUCACAAAUGCCAUUGUAGAGUGAACAUCUCUAUUCUUUACUUCAAUCUCAUUUGAGACCAGGAGAAUGGCUUUGACCUUGUUUAGGUCACUUGAACUCUAUGGGCUCCCAGCUAACUUUCUUCCACACCCCAAGCUGUAUUAAUGCCAACAAAACAAAACAUGACUUUCUAGUUCAAAUGAGAAUAUUUUUGAAAAGGCUUAUUAAAAGGUUCAUACGAUGUGCCAGUGUUUGAAAUAACUCUAAGGUAUAUAAAUGAGUCAGGAACACACAGAUUAAGUUUCCCUUGAAAUACAGAGUUUUCAAAAGAAAGGAGUCCUUGGGAAAACAUGUUUAUAAGGAUUUACUGCUUUGUUUUGUUUGUUUGUUCUUUCACUUUGUUAAACAUUUGAAGGCUUGUUGAAAAUUUUAUCUGCAAUAAAAGUACCCCUGAAUCUUCUUAAAAUUGCUGUUAAGAGACAAUCAUUUCAAUGGGGAAUAAACAUUUAAAGUUCUUAGAGAACAAAAUUCUAGAGUUUCUAUCAAUCCAAAAAAUGUUUUAAUAUCCUAAAAUCAACUAUCUUUAAAGAUUGUGCAAUCUAAGAUAAGCAGACCUUAGCAUAUGUUUACAUUUAUGCCAAAUUUAUAGUCAUCAGUAUUAUCGUUCAUGAAAGCCAAUUUGUAAGAAAGGUUGACAUUCCUUUACAUUUUGCAAAUUCAUUUGUUUUCUUGCCAUAAAAGCUAAAUAAUUUUUGGCAAAUUAUUAUCAUAUCCAAGUGUCUCUACAUUUUAAACACUUCAUCUUAACUAAAUAUGCACCAAAGAAAGAUUUUUUUUAAAAAAUCCUGGAGUUCCCGUCGUGGCGGUGGUUAGCAAAUCCAACUAGGAACCAUGAGGUUGCGGGUUCGAUCCCUGCCCUUACUCAGUGGUUUAAUGAUCUGGCGUUGCCGUGAGCUGUGGUGUAGGUCGCAGACGUGGAUCAGAUCCUGUGUUGCUGUGGCCCUGGUGUAGGCUGGCAGCUACAGCUCCAAUUAGACCCCUAGCCUGGGAACCUCCAUAUGCCGCACGCAGGAGCGGCCCAAGAAAUG
rnacentral:lncRNA from 1 species